UACGUAGGGUGCAAGCGUUGUCCGGAAUUAUUGGGCGUAAAGCGCUUGUAGGCGGUUUGUCGCGUCUGCUGUGAAAUUUCGGGGCUCAACCCCGGACUUGCAGUGGGUACGGGCAGACUAGAGUGUGGUAGGGGAGACUGGAAUUCCUGGUGUAGCGGUGAAAUGCGCAGAUAUCAGGAGGAACACCGAUGGCGAAGGCAGGUCUCUGGGCCACUACUGACGCUGAGAAGCGAAAGCAUGGGGAGCGAACAGG
rnacentral:rRNA from 1 species